CAAAUUAUAGCUUAUCUAAAGCAUCUUGCUUACACCAAGAAAAUACCCGUUAAACUCCGGUUAAUUUGA
rnacentral:tRNA from 1 species